AAUGGCUCUGACGGCACCUUGCAAUCUACGGCGGUGAACGAGUAUCUAAACGCGAGUGGCAUUCCUCUCUUGCUUGCGUUACGCCUGUGAAAUCCGACAGCGGUGGCAGCAUGUCGUCCGAUCCGCCUUCAACCGAACGCUCGCCGACUGAUGCGGAAGGAGCGGUUUGCCUCUUGCUUGCGGUGCGCCUGUGAAACGUGACAACGGUGGCAGCAUGUCGUCCGAUCCGGCUUAAACUGAACGUUCGCCGACUGGUGCGGAAGAAGCGGCUUGCCUCGUUUCGCAGGGGCCAUCAAAGAAAAUCGUGAAGCUCACAGGCGCCCGGAAACUCGCCGACCUCCACGAAAGCCUGCGGACGGGAGGGUUCGUGUACCUGAUGACAGGCAACGAUCUUCUAAUACAGGCUGUCUGGUAGUGCGGUUGGACAUGCGGAGAAUGCAGUCAAAGGACAGUACAAGGAAUUGUCAACGUACACACUGCCUCUGAUGCCCAUUGACGUUGCUGCACACCUCUGAAAUAUUACAGCAGGAGGCGUGCCUGACAAUCUUCAAAAAAAUUGAAUGGAUUGCCUACAAUUCGUCAUCUCAGACAAUGUACCCAAAUAAAUUGUGCAAUGUUGCUGCAAGGAGCCUCGUAAACCAGUACCCAGCACUGAGGGACACAUUGCACCUUGGCCAUUUCUCAUGUUAUAUGUGCCUAAGAAACAAGUACAAAAACAUGCGAAAGUGAAUGCCACCAGGAUGCCCUGAAGUCGAUGCAGAAGUGAAAGCAAGAAAGGCAAGCG